rnacentral:rRNA from 1 species
UAAGGAAUAUUGGACAAUGGAGGCAACUCUGAUCCAGCCAUGCCGCGUGAAGGAAUAAGGCCCUAUGGGUUGUAAACUUCUUUUAGACGGGACAAAACCCCUUUACGUGUUAAGGGUUGAUGGUACUGUCAGAAUAAGCAUCGGCUAACUUCGUGCCAGCAGCCGCGGUAAUACGAAGGAUGCAAGCGUUAUCCGGAAUUAUUGGGUUUAAAGGGUGCGUAGGCGGACUAAUAAGUCAGUGGUGAAAGCCUGCAGCUUAACUGCAGAAUUGCCAUGGAUACUGUUAGUCUUGAGUACAGUUGAGGUAGGCGGAAUGUGUCAUGUAGCGGUGAAAUGCUUAGAUAUGACACAGAACACCGAUUGCGAAGGCAGCUUGCUAAGCUGUAACUGACGCUGAGGCACGAAAGCGUGGGGAGCAAACA